GAGAAAACAACACCAAACGCUUUUUUUUUCUAUAACAUUUUACUAAAACUUAUCAGCCGUUUGUGUUGCCUUAAUGAAUUCUGAUGUAACCACGAGUAAGACGUGUGGCAGAAGAGUUUAUAAAGAGGAGGGAAUGCCUGAUGAAAGUCAGUUGGAGGGACAGUCAGAGACAGAAUAAUGUGUGUUAAGUUUUGAAGGGAGUUCAACAUCUUGUGUUUCUAAAUAUAGCAGUACUCAGAUUUAAAGCUGUAUAGAUCUAUGUUGUCAAUAAAAGUUUAUUUUUUUGUCUAAAAAUAGUGUAACUUCUAUUCAAGUGCUGGCCACCAAAAUGUCACCAAGUCAUGAAGAUAAUAGUGACAACAAAUAUAAGGACAGAAUGAAGAUUCAGAAGGCCGAUUCACGGACAUAUAACUUGUUUAUUGAAAAUACAUUAAUUCAGAUAUCUACUUUGAUUGAUUGUGACGCCAUGGUCGAGUCUCUGUAUAACUUCUAGCGUCAGUUGAGGGCCCAGCGGUGCAGCGCCACAAACAAUUCUCUGGACGGAUCCCAAAUUGUAUUGACUGACU